UACGUAGGGCGCAAGCGUUGUCCGGAAUUAUUGGGCGUAAAGAGCUCGUAGGCGGCUUGUCACGUCGGGUGUGAAAGCCCGGGGCUUAACCCCGGGUCUGCAUUCGAUACGGGCUAGCUAGAGUGUGGUAGGGGAGAUCGGAAUUCCUGGUGUAGCGGUGAAAUGCGCAGAUAUCAGGAGGAACACCGGUGGCGAGGGCGGAUCUCUGGGCCGUAACUGACGCUGAGGAGCGAAAGCAUGGGGAGCGAACGGG
rnacentral:rRNA from 1 species